AGUUGAUCAUGGCUCAGGAUGAACGCUAGCGGCAGGCUUAACACAUGCAAGUCGAGGGGCAGCGGGAUGUAGCAAUACAUUGCCGGCGACCGGCGGAUGGGUGCGUAACGCGUAUGCAACCUACCUUAUACAGGGGAAUAACCUUUCGAAAGGGAGACUAACACCCCAUGGUAUUGAUUUAAGGCAUCUUAGAUUAAUUAAAUAUUUAUAGGUAUAAGAUGGGCAUGCGUAUGAUUAGCUAGUUGGUAAGGUAACGGCUUACCAAGGCGACGAUCAUUAGGGGUUCUGAGAGGAAGGUCCCCCACACUGGUACUGAGACACGGACCAGACUCCUACGGGAGGCAGCAGUGAGGAAUAUUGGUCAAUGGGCGCAAGCCUGAACCAGCCAUGCCGCGUGCAGGAAAGACGGCCUUAUGGGUUGUAAACUGCUUUUACAUAAGACUAACCGUAUAUUUGCGAAUAUACCUGAAUGUAUUAUGAGAAUAAGGAUCGGCUAACUCCGUGCCAGCAGCCGC
rnacentral:rRNA from 1 species